rnacentral:lncRNA from 1 species
UUAAAGUUUUAAGCCAUAAUGAAGAAUCGUUUUUGAGAUACAGUGCGACAUGUGAAAAAAACACACCCCUGUUUUAGUUACAAAGUGCCGUAACUCAAAAAGUUUAAAUCUUAUUUUCAUCAAAAAGUAUACAGAUCAUUUGACCAUCAUAAGAAACAACUAUAUUAAGUUUCAUGAAAUUUGGAUAAGUCGUUCUCAAGUUAUGGUGCGACAUGUUUACGCCAGUCAGACAGACGGACGGACAUCGGACAUUUGUAUACCAUAAUACGUCCCGUCAAAAUUUUGACGGGC